UACAGAGGGUGCGAGCGUUAAUCGGAUUUACUGGGCGUAAAGGGCGCGUAGGCGGUAAUGUAAGUGAGAUGUGAAAUCCCUGGGCUUAACCUAGGAACUGCAUCUCAUACUGCAUAGCUAGAGUAUUGUAGAGGGUAGUGGAAUUUCCGGUGUAGCGGUGAAAUGCGUAGAGAUCGGAAGGAACACCAGUGGCGAAGGCGGCUACCUGGACAAAUACUGACGCUGAUGCGCGAGAGCGUGGGGAGCAAACAGG
rnacentral:rRNA from 1 species